CUGUACAGUUCAGAGUUUGAUCCUGGCUCAGGAUGAACGCUGGCGGCGUGCCUAAUACAUGCAAGUAGAACGCUGAAGCUUGGUGCUUGCACCGAGCGGAUGAGUUGCGAACGGGUGAGUAACGCGUAGGUAACCUGCCUCUUAGCGGGGGAUAACUAUUGGAAACGAUAGCUAAUACCGCAUAAAAGUCGAUAUCGCAUGAUAUUGAUUUGAAAGGUGCAAUUGCAUCACUAAGAGAUGGACCUGCGUUGUAUUAGCUAGUUGGUGAGGUAACGGCUCACCAAGGCGACGAUACAUAGCCGACCUGAGAGGGUGAUCGGCCACACUGGGACUGAGACACGGCCCAG
rnacentral:rRNA from 1 species